AAUCAACGCUGGCGGCGUGCCUCAGACAUGCAAGUCGAACGCGAAAGUUUCCUUCGGGAGACAAGUAGAGUGGCGCACGGGUGAGUAACACGUAGGUAAUCUACCUUCGGAUGGGGAAGUAACAAUCGGAAACGGUUGCUAAUACCGCAUAAUGCAGCGGCACCUAAUGGUGACAGUUGUUAAAGCGGGGGAGUCGAAAGACCUCGCGUCUGAAGAGGAGCCUGCGGCGGAUUAGCUAGUUGGUAAGGUAAUGGCUUACCAAGGACGACGAUCCGUAACCGGCCUGAGAGGGCGGUCGGUCACACUGACACUGACAUACGGGUC
rnacentral:rRNA from 1 species